rnacentral:rRNA from 1 species
GACGAACCGUCCUAACGUUGUUCGGAAUCACUGGGCGUAAAGGGCGCGUAGGCGGGCUCUCAAGUCCGGGGUGAAAUCUUUCGGCUCAACCGGAAAAUAGCCUUGGAUACUGGGAGUCUCGAGGGAGGUAGGGGCGGGUGGAACUUCCGGUGGAGCGGUGAAAUGCGUUGAUAUCGGAAGGAACGCCGGUGGCGAAAGCGACCCGCUGGACCUCUUCUGACGCUGAGGCGCGAAAGCCAGGGGAGCAAACGGG